rnacentral:rRNA from 1 species
CGGCGAGUGAAGCGGCAACAGCUCAAAUUUGAAAUCUGGCCCCCCGGGUCCGAGUUGUAAUUUGCAGAGGAUGCUUCGGGUGCGGCGUCGACCAAGUCCCCUGGAACGGGGCGCCAUAGAGGGUGAGAGCCCCGUCGGGUCGGCCGCCAAGCCUGUGUGAAGCUCCUUCGACGAGUCGAGUAGUUUGGGAAUGCUGCUCUAAACGGGAGGUAGACCCCUUCUAAAGCUAAAUAUUGGCCAGAGACCGAUAGCGCACAAGUAGAGUGAUCGAAAGAUGAAAAGCACUUUGAAAAGAGGGUUAAACAGUACGUGAAAUUGUUGAAAGGGAAGCGCUUGUGACCAGACGUGCGCCGGGUGUUCAGCGGGCGUUCUCGCCCGUGUACUCACCCCGGCGCAGGCCAGCGUCGGUUCGGAUGGGGGGACAAAGGUCCUGGGAAUGUGGCUCCUCCGGGAGUGUUAUAGCCCAGGGCGUCAUGCCCCCGCCCGGACCGAGGUUCGCGCUCUGCAAGGACGCUGGCGUAAUGGUCCCCAGCGGCCCGUCUUGAAACACGGACCAAGGAGUCGAGGUUUUGCG